AUGCUUCCACUGUGGUGGCCGGUCUGGACAGGGCUUGGUCUGCAGUGGUUCACGGUGGUUCGGUGGGUAGUGUUGCCGGCCCUCAAUUCUCGGCUCCGUUCGAGGGUCCGGCCGAGUCGGCGUCGAUGCCUGCAUUCGAAGAGCCGAUGGACUGAUGCUUCCUUGAGCCCGGUGAUGUUCUAUGUACGCUGGAGGUGGAGCUGGGGCGGGCGGUCGUGGUCUCGGUGGCCAGCCCACCGAAAAGCGUUGAUCUUGCGACCGCUGCGGCGGCGCUACACGCGGAGUUCGACAUCGGCCCCCUCGACAUGUCCAUUCGUGCGUUUCACCUGGAGGAGUUCUUGGUUCUUUGCAGGACCAAUGGGAUUCGAGAUCAGAUGGUGGAUCGGGGCCAGGCCUCGGCUGGGGGCAUCUUGCUUUCGCUCAAGCCCUGGCUCUGGCAGGCUCAGGCGAUUGGCAUUGCAAUGCCUUACGUUGUGCAGCUGGCCCUUGUCGGGGUUCCGGCGAAUGCGUGGACACGGCGAGCAGCGCAAGAACUCCUUCGAGGCAUUGGUCUGGUUGUCAGGGUGGCGGAGAGCACAGCAAGGCGGAACGACAUGCCGCGCUUUCAAGUGUGGUUGUGCACAGAUGAUCCGGCCAGGAUCCCCCCUCGCUGCAUCAUGGUCGUGGAGGAACCACGUCGCCGGCAAGCUCUCGGGCAGGUGGAGGGUGCCGAUGCCCUUUCGUACCCGGUGGAAAUCAUCAUUGAAGCCCCGCCGUCCCGUCCAUCCUCCGGCUCCGCACCAUCUCAGCCACCCCCUCCACCUCCUCCGCCGGCGGACGAGGGGGAUGGUGGCCGCAUCCGUGAAGGUGGACCUCGCCAAGGUGGAUGCCGCGGCAAUGCAGCUAGGGGUAAAUCGUCGGGCGGCCAGUAGUUUCCACACGCUCCUCGACGGCAUCCGCCGCCCCAUCAAGGAAUCACGGGCGGGGCCUCUCGACGGCCGGCGACAGCUCCUCAUCACCGGAGGACGCGCCCCCACAGCCGCCAAGAUCGCCGGCCGUGAGCUACGGCCGGUCAAACAAGGGUGGAGACCAGGUGGAAAAAGUAAAGGAAAAACCAACUGUUGUGCCAGCUGA
rnacentral:rRNA from 1 species